rnacentral:pre_miRNA from 1 species
UGUUGGAGUCAGGAUCUUGGGCUGUGUCCAGGCGCCCUGUGCUCCGGGGUCUGCGCUGUUGGAUUCGUGCCCCUGGCCAGGCAGCCGCCU